UUAUGUACAUGCGCCUAUAUAUAAACGUAUAUCUCCGCAGAAGAAAUCCAUUGCAAUUCGCAAUACCUGGCUGCGCUCUCUCUUCCAAAGUUUUCAUUUUCCUCUAAUUCUGUAUCAAUGGUUCUGCAUCUUUUUCAAAUCUUCUUCAAUUCCGUAUCUGUAUUUCCGACUGUGGAAUAGUUAAGGAAGGGGGCUUUGUUGCAAUGAGGAGUUUAUUGAAGUCAUGCACCACUCUGAUUUA
rnacentral:lncRNA from 1 species